CUUGGAGCGACCGACUCUGCUUGGGAACUCCUGGCUACACUGCGCUCCUGACACGGCUGAGGGGCAGCUGCAGACUCCCGAAAAGUCCGUAAAAAUGUGCCUCGCACACCAGAGACUGAAGAAAUCUCCGUGGAUGCAGCCCGAGAGGCCGAGGCCCUCCUCAGUCCUGGUUUGAGAGGGUUGAGCAAACGUCCCGCAGUAAGCGAUGGGAUGCGUGUGGCCUACUAACGAGGAGGGUCUUAGGGCGUCAAAGAGAGAGUCCCAAAUGAAGCCUCCCUCACCAGAACCACCACUGUGCCCUUUGCCCCAGCCUCUUGCUGUAGAAAUGGGCGCUGUGAUUAGGUGUUUACAUUUCCGAUCUAUGUGAAAAUUGGCUUGCAUCACCCCAAGAGAUGCUUUCCCUUUGACAGAUUAAGGAAAGGAAAUGGAUUUUAAUUGCAGUAAUUCCUAAGAAUGACAACUUGGUUGAUGAGUCAUUAAAUAUUGAGUUAUAGUACCAAAGAAUGUUGCACACUUACUGCCUCAAGUCUCCAAAAAUAAGGAUGCUCAUCUUUUUUUAAUCCAAUGAAUAGUAGUACUCUACUUCCCUACCUGUCUUCACUCCAAUCCUGCAUCCUAGCAGCAACCAGUUUUCUUCUGAUAGUUGUGGAAGACCACCUGGAUGACUGUCCUUGAAAGAAGAGCAAUUGUCGCAUUUUAGCAAAAUCUGGCCCUAUUUCAUGCACUGUUCUUUGCAAUAUGACUUUAUCCCUCCUUCUAAUAAGAAGUAGAGUCUGGCUUGGCCUGGUGACUUUCUUUGACCAAUAGUGUAUGGCAGAAGUGAUGGUGGAUGACUUCUAAGCCUUGGCCUCAAGAAGCUUUUCACCUUUCAGCUUCAGCCCCUGGAAUACUGCCCUGCAGCUGUAUGGGCAGGAGGAUUUUGACCUGCUGAAAAAUGACAGGCUGCCUGAAUUAAAGAUGAAUUUUUCCAGUGGAAGCCUCUUAGACCAAACAGUGUGAACUGCCAGAUAUAUUUUGGAGACUAUUUUAGGCUAUCUAGUCUUGUCAAGCUGUUUAAUGAAUCAAAAUUUGCCACAUCAGUGACCUAGACAAGACCAGUAGAAGAAUGGUCUAAAUUGUGUUUUUCAAAUCCUUUGGGAAGAGAUUUCCUUUUAUCUUUCUUUCUCAGGUUGGGUGCCCCUAAAGUUAAAAAUCUGCUUUUCAACUAGAGUUUUUGUAAUUCUCCAAAUAGAAUAUUGUGAAUUUUUAUUUUAGAAUGUAUUUUGCCACAAACUUAAAUAUGUUGCUUUGAAUAUGCAUUGUACACAUAGAAUAUUCUGUGCAGUGUCACAACUGUAAAAAUAAUGAUAUAAGUUGGGUGUAGCGAUGCCUGCCUAUAAUACCAUGAUUCUUGGAGGCAGAGGCAGGAGGAUUGCAAGUUUGAGCCCAGUCUGGGUGAUUUAACAAGAC